rnacentral:rRNA from 1 species
UACAGAGGUCUCAAGCGUUGUUCGGAUUCAUUGGGCGUAAAGGGUGCGUAGGCGGCGCGGUAAGUCGGGUGUGAAAUCUCGGGAGCUUACUCCGCAAAACUGCUUCGAUACUGCCGUGCUUGAGGACUGGAGAGGAGACUGGAAUUUACGGUGUAGCGGUGAAAUGCGUAGAUAUCGUAAGGAAGACCAGUGGCGAAGGCGGGUCUCUGGACAGUUCCUGACGCUGAGGCACGAAGGUCAGGGGAGCAAACGGG